rnacentral:lncRNA from 1 species
AUGACAGAAAUGUAUCUAUGCGGAGACAGAUCUGUAAGGCCAAAAGAAAGACUAAGUCCACUUCUGGCUGGAGCUGCAGCAGUCAGGGCCCCAAGUCCUAACGGGGCACAAACACUGCGAGGUGGCAGGGGCAAAGUGAGGACCCCAAGACCUGAGAGGCAUCACCCUAGGGCGAGGGAUGACCCAUCCUACAGCUGCCAAGGUCGGGAGAGACUCUGCCGUGUGCCUCUGUGCUCAUCACACGGAAUCUUGAUCACUUACAGGGGAACAGUGCUGCUAACCGGGGACAUUUACCUUCUACGUACCUUCUUCAUCACCGGGGACCCAGUGCAAACCAACCCCGUAUCAUUCACAGUGUGCGAGUGUGUGCACACACAAAUCGCCAGCAUUAAGAACCUGGAAACACUAUUCUGCCUCCAUAGAGCCACGCAGACUCCAGCCCUAAGAAGUUUAUGGUGCAAUGAAAGGUAACACGAAGAAAGCAAAGGCCCACAAGGAUGGUGGGGACACUGACACAGGCAAGCAUACUGUGAUGCAGUCACAGGCUCAUUAUAGUCUGGAGUGCUGUCAUGACAGCUGCUUUCCUUUCAGUCAUAUUUUGGGCAAAUGUGAGAGAAAGGUAGGGCUGUUUGCAGCUCUCAUUCGUGUACCCAGUAUGAUAGUGAUGGCUGCACUCCCCAAAUCUGUGUUUUAAGUAAGUAGUAUAGAAGCUAUUAAGAAAGUAACAUUUUCAGCUUUUGGAAAAUAAGAAAGUAGCAUUUUCAGCUAUUAAGCAAGUAGCAUUUUCAGGACAGAAACACAAGUAUUAAAAAUAUAAAAGAUAACACAGCAAUAAUAUUGAGGAGAAUUAUUUACUAUGCAUUUUAAAAAUUUAGGCAUUAAGAUGCUAAAGGUGAAGCCCUGACCUGAGGUGUCAGCAGAGGCAGGGAAGACUGGGGCUUUCCGGUGCCUGGGGCUCUGCCUUAGCAGCCCGCACUCCCAGCCCCAACUCCACCUCAGCUCAACAGGGCUGAUACAGACCCAGGCCUGGACCUUAGGCAGUGUGAGU